GAUAGCUAAUGUAAUUAACACUAGCUAUCUAGCUUAAUGUCAGCUAACAAUUAGAAAAAACGCUAGCUAACGCUACCGACUGGUACUGACCUCGCAAAACGUCUCUCGAAUGCAAUGCUACCUUGUUGCAACGUUGCAAUGUAGCUAACUAAAGGUCAGUUCAGAUCAAUGAUUCGUAACGAGACUGUAUGCAACUUGCAAAAUUCCAAGACGUCUGAAUGUAAACGUUCUAACUGCACUUGCCAAUUUGACAAGGUGGGUCUUUUGAGACCAGGCAACGGCUUCAGACGCUCUGCAACUAACCAGUUCACACCGCUGCAUUUUUCUCUGCAACAUUCUAAAACAGUUUCGUCUCGUUGCGAAUCAUUGAUCUGAAUUGGCGUUACCGUUAUUUACAUUGCUAUCAAGUUCAUCAAUAUAUUAUAAUGAUCGGAAUAAAGCCGUCUUUACACAGAGCAUUAACCUGGGGUAUAGGUGGAGCAGAGCCGAGUCUAAUUUCUGUGUAAAGAUGUCAAGCCGGAGAAAACUAAAUUUUUAUUUAUUUUUAGAUAUAGGAUAUGAUGGAUAAGCAGGUAUAGGGUUCUAGGGUGGCUGACAUGGAUAGGGAUUUUAUAUAGUAGGACUCGGUGUAAAGCAUGGAGGAUAAAAUAUAGCUUAGGGUGAAGGGAUUUUUUAGUGUAAAUCUAUUGUCUGAUACACACUCCGGAGCAGAAGGUGGCGGUAAUUCACCAAUAAGCUGUGUACCACCCGCUGUAAAACAAGAAGACGGUAUAUUCAAUCACAUGCGCAUGUUGCUGUGACGUGGUCUUAGAAGAAGGUCGUUGUGAUUUCAAAUUCUCCGUGGGAAAAUCUGGCGGCGUUCAAGAGCAGAGUUCUCUACAUUUGGCCCAACAGCUCAAAUGGAAACUAGAGCACAAGAUCAGAAUGAAGCUCCCACACAUGGCCUUAUGACUGUUGCCCCAGUGAAGAACCUGAGGUCCAGCCUUCCCCACUCAAGACAUGCCUGAGACAAGAGUGACUGUAUUCCAAGUUGAUCCAAGAUUCGACAUCUUUGGAGGUAAGUGGAUUUCUUCUGCUGCUUCUCUGCGCUACUACAGUGGUGGUACAGUUCAGCAGUUGCAGCCAAGCUAAUUGAUGGGACGAUUCUGAAAGAUCGGAACUGUUGCUUUCAUCUGAAAUCCUGGUAGGACUGAUCAUUGCCAGAACACUGAAGGACACAUUUAAUAGACUGUAUAUUUUCAUUCCCUUCAUUGGACUGAAAAAAGGGAAUCACUGUUUCAUUGGUUGAAGUUACUUUUAUUGCUCUGUUGAUUGAUAUUGAUAUUGGGGGAAUUGAUACUAUUUCUUUUAAAAGGUAUUUUGAUACAUACACCAAUGGUAAAAGAUCUUUUGAUGUAUAUACAUUGAGGUUAAAAUGUGUUUUGCUAAUACACAAAAAGGGGUUUAGCUCAUGAAAAAAAAAACAGCGUGUGAGUUAAACUAGUUGAGAUGAAACAUUGCUAUCAGAUUUUAAAAAUAAUGCAAAAAAAAAAUGGUCACAAUGCGGUACACUCUCUAAAUGUGUAAUUAACUUGUGUGUAUUUCUAUACUCUGUACUCUCGUAUGGGGAUGAGACGACUUGAAAACAAUUUUCAACUGUCCACCACGUUUUGCCAAUGUUCCAACUCUCACGUCAUCACUGUUACAUGUUCACAAAAUCUAUUACACUACCAUCUAACGCUUACAUUAUAGUGUGAAAUAUCCACAUUAUAUAACACCACUAACCUAUUUAAAGAUACUCAGUUUCAAAAAUAACGUAUAUAACCGAACUAUUUUGAGCAGUAAUACUUACAUAGCAAUGAUGAAAUCUCAUCUAUGUUCAGUAGAUGGAGACAGAGACGGUAUCAGUGAUACUGUUCUAUUCGCUUCUGUUUUACUCCAGAAAAUGAUGUCUGCUAGGUCUAUCAGCAAACAUAUGGCUUAGCUAUGUCCAGAAGUCUUCAAUAAUAAUAGUAUUUUCCAAGAAAUUGAGAUCGGUGACUACAUUUUGUUAGAUGCAGCAUAUUUUCUGCUAACAUAGAGUGAAUGCGUAGGUGAAUGCGAUGCUAAGAAUAUUUUCUGUUGCGCUGACCUAUAAAACGCUAUUCCAAAAGCAGAAUUAGACAUGUUGUACAUCGUUAGAAAGCUCAUACUCUCACCUACUGAAUAAAUGAAUUGUCAAUCAAGCCAGACUGUACUAAAAAGGGCAACGACGCUGUAAACAACAGGUGUGGUAUUACGCACAGCUAUUUUGGAAGAUACAAUGUAUAACAUGUCUAAUUUUGCUUUUGGAAUAGCGUUUCAUUGGUCAGCAUAAUCGAAAGUUUUGUUAUCGCAUUCACUUACACAUUCACUCUGUGGUAGCAGUGAAAUACGCUGCACCUAACAACGUUGUUAAUGAUUUUUCAUAAUUUCUUGUAAAAUACUAUUAUUAUUGAGGACUUCUGGGCAUAGCUAAGCGAUAUGUUUGCUGAUAGACCUAGCUGACAUCGUUUUCUGGUGUAAGACAGAAGCGGAUAGGAAUAUCAUUGAUUUACUCUUUCUUAAUCUGUUGAAAACGGAUAAGAUUUCAUCAUUGCUAUGUAAGUAUUACUGCUCUAAAUAUUUUGGUUAUAUACGUUAUUUUUGAAAUUGAGUGUCUUUACAUAGGUUAGUGGUAUUUUAUAAUGAGGAUAUUUUACACUAAUGUAAGCGUUAGUAGUGUAAUCAUGUCUUUCUAUGAUUUACCAUGUAAAGCAGCUAACGUUGACAAUUAAACACUACCACAAUUCGGAACAAUUAACAAUCAUAAUCGCUAUCUUACUUGUAAGCUAUGACCUAUAGUUUUACAGACUAAAUAACUACAAUUUAUAAAUCUAUCACGGAACCUCAUCACUUGACAUUUGGCUACUCGAUGCUGUCGUAGACGAUGACAUCAUUUUUAGAACUUAGAGGCCUCCGUAGCUUCUCCUACGUCCUUGGAAAGGGGGGGGGGGUAUUCAGUUGGUUGCAAUCUGCAACCUCACCGCUAGAUGCCACUAAAUUCUACACACUGCACCUUUAAAUAGGAAUUCAGUAAAAUUACAACCCUCUGCAUGCACAGUGCAUUCUCCAAUCAUGUGUGCAGCCCACAUUACUGCCAACACUACCUGAACCAAAGGACUACAGGCUUUCAGGUAAGUUUUGAUUAUAUUAAUGGAGUGAAUAUAUAUUACGUUUUUUUAAUGACAUUUCAGUUAACCGGCAGAUAGUAGCCUAAUGCAAAGUACACUGUUUAUACCUUGUUAACACCUUCUGCUAGCUAGCUGUUACCAUGUGAUGUAGCUUGAUUGAGCAUGCUAAUUGAGGAGUUUUAAUUAAUCUAUUUACAUUCAUUCUUUAUUGUAAAACAUUUAUUUUAUAAAUGGGUUGUUCACUUUAAACCCUAAGGCAUAUUCUAAAUUGUUAUUUCAUUGUUUUGUUUUCGUCAUGGAAGAAGGGGUCAUAAGGAAUAUUUUUUGUUGAUUAAAUUAACGCUAUCUAAUAAGUAGGCAUUUUUAUCACUGGUAAGCGGCAUGGAGACAUUGUGUAAGUAUUGGUAAUUUUGGACAAGCAGUUAACCUCUCCAAUACUUCCCGUCUUUGGUCACGUAGUGUGCUGCCAAUGUCACCUGGCAUUACUCACGGAAAACUGCUCAUCACUAGAACAACUGGGGUCAACUUACCUCAUGCGCAGUAAAAUGGGAUCUCAU